GUACCAGACUCCUACGGGAGGCAGCAGUGGGGAAUAUUGCACAAUGGGGGAAACCCUGAUGCAGCGACGCCGCGUGAGUGAAGAAGUAUUUCGGUAUGUAAAGCUCUAUCAGCAGGAACGAGACAAGACGGUACCUGACUAAGAAGCCCCGGCUAACUACGUGCCAGCAGCCGCGGUAAUACGUAGGGGGCAAGCGUUAUCCGGAAUCACUGGGUGUAAAGGGAGCGUAGACGGCUGUGCAAGUCUGAAGUGAAAGCCCGGGGCUCAACCCCGGGACUGCUUUGGAAACUGUGUUGCUGGAGUGCUGGAGAGGCAAGCGGAAUUCCUAGUGUAGCGGUGAAAUGCGUAGAUAUUAGGAGGAACACCAGUGGCGAAGGCGGCCUGCUGGACGGUGACUGACGCUGAGGCUCGAAAGCGUGGGGAGCAAACAGGAUUAGAUACCCCAGUA
rnacentral:rRNA from 1 species